rnacentral:rRNA from 1 species
UACGGAGGUGGCAAGCGUUGUUCGGAAUUACUGGGCGUAAAGGGCGCGUAGGCGGCAAGGCAAGUCAGGUGUGAAAGCCCCGGGCUUAACCCGGGAAUUGCAUCUGAAACUGCUGUGCUUGAGUUCUGGAGGGGGUAGUGGAAUUCCCAGUGUAGCGGUGAAAUGCGUAGAUAUUGGGAGGAACACCUGCGGCGAAGGCGGCUACCUGGACAGAAACUGACGCUGAGGCGCGAAAGCUAGGGGAGCGAACGGG